UAGGGAAAAGUUUUCAUACUCCAAACCCUGCUAGAUUGCAACUUUUUGUACCAUCUCCUUUUAAUAAUAUGAUCGAACUCCGACAACCCCUAGGAGCUUACUCCAAUUUCAUAAACCAAUUGACUGGUAUCACCAUGCCAAACAUAAUGACGCUUGCUAAAAACAUUAAUGAUUUCCCUAUUACUCAUUAUUAUCCUCAUAACUUCUCACCAAAUUCAUCCCCUCUUAAUUUUAUGAAUUGUAGCGAUAUUGCUCAACCAUUGAGAAACUAUGCAUUUUCUAACAACAACAACAUUUUUAAUAUUCAACCAUCAAAAUUCUUGCUAGCUUUAUCACAUGAAAACAUAAACUCCAUUGUCGAAACUAUUAAUCGCACCAGAAUGAUGGACAAAUAGAACAAUAUGGAUAUAUCUACACAACAAAUGAGAGCUCCGAACAACCCAGAUGGAGAUGAUCAUCAAUCUGAAAGUGAUGAUGAUGAGAGUUAUGAUGGUAUGACUCACAACCUUCCUUGUAACAAAUAUGGGCCAUCACAACUUUUUGCAACUCAUGUGUUAUUAGCUCAUUACAAAUAUGAAACUAGUGAGGAGAGGCAAAAAAGAAAAGCUGCAAAAAAUAGGAGCAAGAUGUCUCGUCAGUUUCAUAUUAUUAACACUCCUUAUGGACUUGUUAUCUUACUAAAGCAAUUCAAGGUGACAUGAAAGAAUAAUUUUUGAGGCAAGGA
rnacentral:lncRNA from 1 species